UGAAAUGGAGUUUGAAAAGUCAAGGACUUAGGGUCCAGGUUUCUAAUUUGAAAAGACAUGAAGAUGUUUGCGCAACAAGUCAAAGUUUUAAAAGUCAACAAGUGAAAAGGUUUAGGACAAAGAGGGUAUGGAUGAUGGAGUGUAAAACUUCUCAGAAAGGUUCACCUCUUGAGAUCAUAUAGAAGAUGAUUCAAGUGUGUCCUUAGGAAUAGGCAAAUGAGCAAUAACAAAUAAGCAAAAC
rnacentral:lncRNA from 1 species